rfam:Monodelphis domestica chrTn_v05.000092 genomic scaffold, whole genome shotgun sequence.
GUUGAUGUAGCUUAACUUAAAAGCAAAGCACUGAAAAUGCUUAGAUGGUUUAUACUAAAACCCCAUAAACA